AUUGUACUCCCUUCGUCCGAAAAUAUUUGUCAUCAAAAUGAAUAAAAGGAGAUGUAUCUAGAUGUAUAUUAGUUCUACAUACAUCCUUUUUCAUCCAUUUUGAUGACAAAUAUUUUCGGACGGAGGGAGUACAAA
rfam:Triticum aestivum genome assembly, contig: Triticum_aestivum_CS42_TGACv1_scaffold_129653_2BL